UAACGGCGUCGAGCGGCGGACGGGUGAGUAAUGCCUGGGAAAUUGCCCUGAUGUGGGGGAUAACCAUUGGAAACGAUGGCUAAUACCGCAUAAUAGCUUCGGCUCAAAGAGGGGGACCUUCGGGCCUCUCGCGUCAGGAUAUGCCCAGGUGGGAUUAGCUAGUUGGUGAGGUAAUGGCUCACCAAGGCGACGAUCCCUAGCUGGUCUGAGAGGAUGAUCAGCCACACUGGAACUGAGACACGGUCCAGACUCCUACGGGAGGCAGCAGUGGGGAAUAUUGCACAAUGGGCGCAAGCCUGAUGCAGCCAUGCCGCGUGUAUGAAGAAGGCCUUCGGGUUGUAAAGUACUUUCAGCAGUGAGGAAGGUGGUGUCGUUAAUAGCGGCAUCAUUUGACGUUAGCUGCAGAAGAAGCACCGGCUAACUCCGUGCCAGCAGCCGCGGUAAUACGGAGGGUGCGAGCGUUAAUCGGAAUUACUGGGCGUAAAGCGCAUGCAGGUGGUUUGUUAAGUCAGAUGUGAAAGCCCGGGGCUCACCUCGGAAUUGCAUUUUAAACUGGCAGACUAGAGUACUGUAGAGGGGGGUAGAAUUUCAGGUGU
rnacentral:rRNA from 1 species